rnacentral:rRNA from 1 species
UACGUAGGGACCAAGCGUUGUUCGGAUUUACUGGGCGUAAAGGGCGCGUAGGCGGCGUGUUAAGUCAGCUGUGAAAUCUCCAAGCUUAACUUGGAACGGUCAGCUGAUACUGAUGUGCUAGAGUGCAGAAGGGGCAAUCGGAAUUCUUGGUGUAGCGGUGAAAUGCGCAGAUAUCAGGAAGAACACCCGUGGCGAAGGCGGCUCUCUGGGACGGUACUGACGCUGAGACGCGAAAGCGUGGGGAGCGAACAGG